CUAGAGAUGGGUUGUUCUCUAUCUCACUCUGGCACACUCUGCCAGUAGAUUCCACCAAAGCAGAAGUGUCAUGAACCUGUAUCAAUAGAAAACUUGUGACUGUAGAUCAUUUUGAAAAGGAGCCAAGUGAAUUCUGUCAAUUUUUCAAAUGUUAACUCAAACUUGAUUACCCAAGAUACACAGUCACAUGCCUAUUUAGGACCCCAGGAGCUAGAAGAAGUCAUUGGAUCCACUGGAGCUGGAGUUAUAGGAGAUUGUGAGCCACCAUGUGGAUGCUGAGAACAGAACCCAAGUCCUCCGGAAGAGCUGUCAGUGCUCCUAACCAUGAGCCAUCGCUCCAGCCUCAAAAUUCUUAACAUGCAAAUAUGUAUAAUGCAUUCAUAAGCAAAUGAAGAAAAGCCUCAAAUAUGGCAGUUCUCACAUCUGCAACUGAUCACGUGCUCAUAGCUGUGGAUAAGUAGAUUCUCGGCCACCCAUUCUACAGUCUUUUCUGAACUGCUCUUGGUUGCGGGUCUAGGAGGGUGACUACCUUCAUUUCUGAGGACUGCGAGCCAUGUACAGUCUUAUUUGAAUUGUGUUGUAAGUUAUCCAUUGAUGCUUAUCAUAUUAUGUGCCAAAAAGGGUCACUUGAGAGAACUUCUGUGGUCCACGCAUAUUCUUCCUUAGAUCUGCUAUGAUGCUGGACCCAUAAUCUCCCCCCUGAAAGUCAGGACCAGACAGCUUAUUAGCUGUUUUUUGUUUGUUUGUUUGUUUUUUGUUUUUGUUUUUUUUUUUUUUUUUUUUUUUUUUUUUAGCUCUUGUUUCAGAAACAUAAAGGGGGCCAUUCUAAAAUAGAAUCUUCAGUGUUUAAUGUGUAUGCUUAGUAUAUAUGUAUGUUUAUUUU